CUUGUUGACUAGGCGCUGUUCUUGCUGGCUGGUGCCCCAGGGCCUGGAGAGGUCUGAAGAAACCUGGGAGCCAGCAGCCCUGGGCUCCGCUCUGGGUUCUGAAAGCCCAUUCCAUGCUCUGCGGCUCCUCCCACCCCACCUCUUCUCAGCCUUGCAGCUCAAGGGUUGAUCUCAGGAGUCCAGGACCCAGGAGAGGGAAGAAUCUGAGGAACACAGAACAGUGCCCUGGGAUUUAUAAAACUGGGUUCUGAAUGCUGAAUAAGAGACGGUAAGAGCCAAGGCAAAGGACAGCACUGUUCUCUGCCUGCCUGAUACCCUCACCACCUGGGAACAUCCCCCAGACACCCCCUUAACUCCGGGACAGAGAUGGCUGGCGGAGCCUGGGGCCGCCUGGCCUGUUACUUGGAGUUCCUGAAGAAGGAGGAGCUGAAGGAGUUCCAGCUUCUGCUCGCCAAUAAAGCGCACUCCAGGAGCUCUUCGGGUGAGACACCCGCUCAGCCAGAGAAGACGAGUGGCAUGGAGGUGGCCUCGUACCUGGUGGCUCAGUAUGGGGAGCAGCGGGCCUGGGACCUAGCCCUCCAUACCUGGGAGCAGAUGGGGCUGAGGUCACUGUGCACCCAAGCCCAGGAAGGGGCAGGCCACUCUCCCUCAUUCCCCUACAGCCCAAGUGAACCCCACCUGGGGUCUCCCAGCCAACCCACCUCCACCGCAGUGCUAAUGCCCUGGAUCCAUGAAUUGCCGGCGGGGUGCACCCAGGGCUCAGAGAGAAGGGUUUUGAGACAGCUGCCUGACACAUCUGGACGCCGCUGGAGAGAAAUCUCUGCCUCACUCCUCUACCAAGCUCUUCCAAGCUCCCCAGACCAUGAGUCUCCAAGCCAGGAGUCACCCAAUGCCCCCACAUCCACAGCAGUGCUGGGGAGCUGGGGAUCCCCACCUCAGCCCAGCCUAGCACCCAGAGAGCAGGAGGCUCCUGGGACCCAAUGGCCUCUGGAUGAAACGUCAGGAAUUUACUACACAGAAAUCAGAGAAAGAGAGAGAGAGAAAUCAGAGAAAGGCAGGCCCCCAUGGGCAGCGGUGGUAGGAACGCCCCCACAGGCGCACGCCAGCCUACAGCCCCACCACCACCCAUGGGAGCCUUCUGUGAGAGAGAGCCUCUGUUCCACAUGGCCCUGGAAAAAUGAGGAUUUGAACCAAAAAUUCACACAGCUGCUACUUCUACAAAGACCUCACCCCAGAAGCCAAGAUCCCCUGGUCAAGAGAAGCUGGCCUGAUUAUGUGGAGGAGAAUCGAGGACAUUUAAUUGAGAUCAGAGACUUAUUUGGCCCAGGCCUGGAUACCCAAGAACCUCGCGUAGUCAUACUGCAGGGGGCUGCUGGAAUUGGGAAGUCAACACUGGCCAGGCAGGUGAAGGAAGCCUGGGGGAGAGGCCAGCUGUAUGGGGACCGCUUCCAGCAUGUCUUCUACUUCAGCUGCAGAGAGCUGGCCCAGUCCAAGGUGGUGAGUCUCGCUGAGCUCAUCGGAAAAGAUGGGACAGCCACUCCGGCUCCCAUUAGACAGAUCCUGUCUAGGCCAGAGCGGCUGCUCUUCAUCCUCGAUGGUGUAGAUGAGCCAGGAUGGGUCUUGCAGGAGCCGAGUUCUGAGCUCUGUCUGCACUGGAGCCAGCCACAGCCGGCGGAUGCACUGCUGGGCAGUUUGCUGGGGAAAACCAUACUUCCCGAGGCAUCCUUCCUGAUCACGGCUCGGACCACAGCUCUGCAGAACCUCAUUCCUUCUUUGGAGCAGGCACGUUGGGUAGAGGUCCUGGGGUUCUCUGAGUCCAGCAGGAAGGAAUAUUUCUACAAAUAUUUCACAGAUGAAAGGCAAGCAAUUAGAGCCUUUAGGUUGGUCAAAUCAAACAAAGAGCUCUGGGCCCUGUGUCUUGUGCCCUGGGUGUCCUGGCUGGCCUGCACUUGCCUGAUGCAGCAGAUGAAGCAGAAGGAAAAACUCACACUGACUUCCAAGACCACCACAACCCUCUGUCUACAUUACCUUGCCCAGGCUCUCCAAGCUCAGCCAUUGGGACCCCAGCUCAGAGACCUCUGCUCUCUGGCUGCUGAGGGCAUCUGGCAAAAAAAGACCCUUUUCAGUCCAGAUGACCUCAGGAAGCAUGGGUUAGAUGGGGCCAUCAUCUCCACCCUCUUGAAGAUGGGUAUUCUUCAAGAGCACCCCAUCCCUCUGAGCUACAGCUUCAUUCACCUCUGUUUCCAGGAGUUCUUUGCAGCAAUGUCCUAUGUCUUGGAGGAUAAGAAGGGGAGAGGUAAACAUUCUAAUUGCAUCAUAGAUUUGGAAAAGAUGCUAGAAGCAUAUGGAAUACAUGGCCUGUUUGGGGCAUCAACCACACGUUUCCUAUUGGGCCUGUUAAGUGAUGAGGGGGAGAGAGAGAUGGAGAACAUCUUUCACUGCCGGCUGUCUCAGGGGAGGAACCUGAUGCAGUGGGUCCCGUCCCUGCAGCUGCUGCUGCAGCCACACUCUCUGGAGUCCCUCCACUGCUUGUACGAGACUCGGAACAAAACGUUCCUGACACAAGUGAUGGCCCAUUUCGAAGAAAUGGGCAUGUGUGUAGAAACAGACAUGGAGCUCUUAGUGUGCACUUUCUGCAUUAAAUUCAGCCACCACGUGAAGAAGCUUCAACUGAUUGAGGGCAGGCAGCACAGAUCAACAUGGAGCCCCACCAUGGUAGUCCUGUUCAGGUGGGUCCCAGUCACAGAUGCCUAUUGGCAGAUUCUCUUCUCCGUCCUCAAGGUCACCAGAAACCUGAAGGAGCUGGACCUAAGUGGAAACUUGCUGAGCCACUCUGCAGUGAAGAGUCUUUGUAAGACCCUGAGACGCCCUCGCUGCCUCCUGGAGACCCUGCGGUUGGCUGGCUGUGGCCUCAGAGCUGAGGACUGCAAGGACCUUGCCUUUGGGCUGAGAGCCAACCAGGCCCUGACCGAGCUGGACCUGAGCUUCAAUGUGCUCACGGAUGCUGGAGCCAAACACCUUUGCCAGAGACUGAGACAGCCGAGCUGCAAGCUACAGCGACUGCAGCUGGUCAGCUGUGGCCUCACGUCUGACUGCUGCCAGGACCUGGCCUCUGUGCUUAGUGCCAGCCCCAGCCUGAAGGAGCUAGACCUGCAGCAGAACAACCUGGACGACGUUGGCGUGCGACUGCUCUGUGAGGGGCUCAGGCAUCCUGCCUGCAAACUCAUACACCUGGGGCUGGACCAGAUGACUCUGAGUGAUGAGAUGAGGCAGGAGCUGAGGGCCCUGGAGCAGGAGAAGCCUCAGCUGCUCAUCUUCAGCAGACGGAAACCAAGUGUGAUGACCCCUAUUGAGGGCCUGGAUACAGGAGAGAUGAGCACAUCCUCACUCAAGCGGCAGAGACUCGGAUCAGAGAGGGCGGCUUCCCAUGUUGCUCAGGCUAAUCUCAAACUCCUGGACGUGAGCAAGAUCUUCCCAAUUGCUGAGAUUGCAGAGGAAAGCUCCCCAGAGGUAGUACCGGUGGAACUCUUGUGCGUGCCUUCUCCUGCCUCUCAGGGGGAUCUGCAUAUGAAGCCUUUGGGGACUGACGAUGACUUCUGGGGCCCCACGGGGCCUGUGGCUACUGAGGUAGUUGACAAAGAAAAGAACUUGUACCGAGUUCACUUCCCUGUAGCUGGCUCCUACCGCUGGCCCAAUACGGGUCUCUGCUUUGUGGUGAGAGAAGCAGUGACCGUUGAGAUUGAAUUCUGUGUGUGGGACCAGUUCCUGGGUGAGAUCAACCCACAGCACAGCUGGAUGGUGGCAGGGCCUCUGCUGGACAUCAAGGCUGAGCCUGGAGCCGUGGAAGCUGUGCACCUCCCUCACUUUGUGGCUCUCCAAGGCAGGGAGAAGAAACAGUGUCAUCAGACGCCAUCUGAGAGCUGGAGCCAUGAAACAGGGGCUUCCCAUAGAAGAUAGUAAUCAUAAAGUAUGAUUUUAUGUCACCUCCAAAGACUUCCCACAGAGUUCCAAGAAAUAUCAGCUAACAGUCAAAAAUCUCACAAA
rnacentral:sRNA from 1 species